UCCAGUAGUCAAAGCAAUAGCAAUUUCUAACAUAAAGAAAGCAAGAAAAUAUACUACCAACUGUCUAGAAGUAGAAAAAGACAAAUAUUUGGUGGACAACAGACAUUGACAGAGAUCUUUUUAGGAGUUUCCAGACAUGGUAUCCUACCAGGAUGGAGGGUGGGCAUGACAUUUCAAAGUAUGACUUUUUUUUUUUUUUUUUUUAUAAAUAUUUUUAGGUAAGUCCUUCAAUAUAGCAUUGUUCUCAUUAUUGUAUUUAGUUCGUAUAAAGUGAAAGAAAGAAGGAAGGAAGGAAUCAGCAAAAAGAGGGAGAAGGGGGAAAGGAAAGAGUGAGGAAGAAGAAAAAAGUCUAGUUAAAAUCAGUAAUCAAUUGUUUAAACAUGGUUUCAGAAUAAAAAUAAAAAACUGCAACUACCUUUAUUAAUUUUCCUUACUGCCAUAAUUUAGACUACAGUGUUUUAUUAUGUCAAUUACUAGGAAGAAAUAAAAGGACCUCACCAAUAAUUAAUUAAUUGUGCAAUUAAAAUCAUACACUUGAAUCUUCCACAUGAAUCUUCCUCUUAAAAAUGUUUAAAUAGGCCGGGCGCGGUGGCUCACGCCUGUAAUCCCAGCACUUUGGGAGGCCGAGGCAGGUGGAUCACUAGGUCAAGAGAUUGAGACCAUCCUGGUCAACAUGGUGAAACCCCGUCUCUACUAAAAAUACAAAAUAUUAGCUGGGCAUGGUGGCGCCUGCCUGUAAUCCCAGCUACUCAGGAGGCUGAGGCAGGAGAAUUGCCCGAACCCAGGAGGCGGAGGUUGCGGUGAGCCGAGAUCGCGCCAUUGCGCUCCAGCCUGGGUAACCAGAGCGAAACUCCAUCUCAAAAAAAAAAAAAAAAAAGUUUAAAUAAAUCAUUUGUAAGAGAAUUAGUAUAUGGUUGCUUUCCCAGGUGUUCCAAAGACAAACAAAUGUGUUAAUUAGCAUACUUUGGGACUUGUACUAUACUUGUUCUCCUUCUUAUAAUUUUGCCUUUUAUUUCCAACUCUGAAUUCCUCAGGUGAAAAAGGUCAAAAUCUGGCUUGGUACUAAUGAUUAAUGUUAGGAGAAAGUACAUACUUGUUUUGUGAAUCAAUAAUUAAAUUUAAACUGCAAAUAAGCCAUAUAUUAUUUGUAUGAAUUGAGAGUCUGUCAAAGUAAAAAUUAGAAGAAAAUUGACCCGCUGAAAUAACAAUGAACACAUUUUGAAGUCUCUAGGAACAGCUUUUGACAUGUAUUAUCUCAAGUAAUCCUUACGGUGCCUCUGUGGGUAAAGUCUCAUCUGCAACUAAGGAAAUUGAGACUGAGCAAUCGCUUCAAUUUUCACAGCUAGUGAGUUGCAGAAGGAGGUAAUAC
rnacentral:lncRNA from 1 species